CUUUUUUUUCUUGCCACCGAAUACAUUAGCAUGGGAUAAUGGAAUAGGACCCUGUCCUCCUAUUUUCAGUUGGUUUUGGCAGCGCGAGGACUAGGGUAAUGAUUAAUAGGGAUAGUUGGGGGCAUUAAUAUUUAAUUGUCAGAGGUGAAAUUCUUGGAUUUAUGAAAGAUUAACUUCUGCGAAAGCAUCUGCCAAGGAUGUUUUCAUUAAUCAAGAACGAAAGUUAGGGGAUCGAAGACGAUCAGAUACCGUCGUAGUCUUAACCAUAAACGAUGCCGACCAGCGAUUAGGAGACGUUGAAUACAAAACACCACCAUCGGCGCGGUCGUCCUUGGCGUCUCUGUCCCUUUCAACGGGGGCAGGCGCGAGGGCGGUUUAGCCCGGUGGCACCGGUGAAUGACUCCCCUAGGCUUUGUGUGGAAAA
rnacentral:rRNA from 1 species